CCAGACUCCUACGGGAGGCAGCAGUGAGGAAUAUUGGUCAAUGGGCGGGAGCCUGAACCAGCCAAGCCGCGUGAAGGAAGAAGGCGCCAAGCGUCGUAAACUUCUUUUGUCGGGGAACAAAGGGCGCCACGUGUGGCGUUGUGAGUGUACCCGAAGAAAAAGCAUCGGCUAACUCCGUGCCAGCAGCCGCGGUAAUACGGAGGAUGCGAGCGUUAUCCGGAUUUAUUGGGUUUAAAGGGUGCGUAGGCGGGCAUUUACGCCGGCGGUCAAAUGUCGGGGCUCAACCCCGGCCUGCCGUCGGAACUGGGUGCCUUGAGUGGGCGAGAAGUAUGCGGAAUGCGUGGUGUAGCGGUGAAAUGCAUAGAUAUCACGCAGAACCCCGAUUGCGAAGGCAGCAUACCGGCGCCCUACUGACGCUGAAGCACGAAAGCGUGGGUAUCGAACAGGAUUAGAUACCCCAGUA
rnacentral:rRNA from 1 species